UACAGAGGGGGCAAGCGUUGUUCGGAAUUACUGGGCGUAAAGGGCGCGUAGGCGGCUGCCUAAGUCAGACGUGAAAUCCCUCGGCUCAACCGGGGAACUGCGUCUGAUACUGGGAGGCUUGAAUCCGGGAGAGGAAUGUGGAAUUCCAGGUGUAGCGGUGAAAUGCGUAGAUAUCUGGAGGAACACCGGUGGCGAAGGCGGCAUUCUGGACCGGUAUUGACGCUGAGGCGCGAAAGCCAGGGGAGCAAACGGG
rnacentral:rRNA from 1 species